GUGCUCACUUCAGCAGCAUAUAUACUAAAAUUGGAAUGAUACAAAGAAGAUUAGCAUGGCCCCUGCGCAAGGUUGACAUAUACAUUUGUGAAGCAUUCUGUAUUUUU
ensembl:snRNA U6 U6 spliceosomal RNA